GCGGAUGCGCCACGGCCCGGCUGCCCGGGCCAAGAGCCGCCCUCCUCCCCCUCCCCUCCCCGCACCGCACCGCCGGCCCUGCCAUGUUAUUCGCAGGAAUAGCGCCCCCGCUCGCCGCGCGGCCGGGCAGGGAGGGAGGGUGUUCCCUCCCUCGCCUCGCCGUUCGCGCAGCGGGGUUGGCUUAUUUAUUUAUUAACUUACUACUCCAGUGCCGGGCGAUGCUGCCAUUUGCUUUCGUGCGAGCGGCGCCGCAUCAGUUUCCCUGUUUGUUUUUUUUUUUAUCUCUCCUUCCUUUUCUAAUUCCCCUCCCAAAAGGAAAAAAAAAAAAACCAACACCAAAACAAGAGAACCAAAACCAAAAACCAUGGCCAGUCAGAAACUUUCAUAAGCAGGUUCAAAGCAAGGAAGUUGCACGUCAUGGAUUAAAAGGUUUCUGCAGUGCCCGUUGGCGUGAAAAUCAAAUAAACGUGACUUGGGGGCUCCUCGCUCCCUCCCUCCAUCCCUCGCCCCCAGGGGCGGUGCUGGGCCCGCCUGUGCCGGCGGCUCGGGGACCACAGUCCCCCCGGCUCCCAGCUUGGACACAAUGAGCUGCGGGGGGCUGCCCGAACGCGAGCAGCUAACCUGUGCGGGGUCAGUCCUUAUCUGCAAUACACUAGCUUAAGUUACAGGCAUGCCCCUGUGCGUCUCCGCCUUCUGAAAGUCUCCGAAGUCUCAGAAAUACUUAAAGCCUCGCCUUUAUCUCGGAGCCACCAUUGCUAAAGCACUGGGACAUGUUCUGGACGCCGCGGAAUUUGCAUGCUUCAGGAAGUCACGAUGAACUCAUUAUUUUAUUGUGAAACUAAAUCCAUAAAGCAGUCAUGAUGAGUAACUCGGGGACUUGUCGUAAUUGGGCAGUAACGCACAGUUUUAUCAUCUGGAGGAUUCUAGUGGGCUCAAUGUGGUUGCCAAUUCUGUGUGAUUUAAUUGUGAACUUUACAACAUUUAGUGCCCUUCUUAAAGCUGUAGCUCCUGGACUCAUACAAUUAUGCAAGAAAUUCAGGUUUGUUUUUUUUUAAUGAAGUUUCUAGCUUGUGGGUUUGUGGAUGUGACCUUAAAGACACAAACCUUAAAGGAACAAAAAGGAAAAGCUAGGUAUGAUACUGAACAGCAGGGCUGAUGGAGAACUAAAAAAAAAGAAAAACACAGAGAAUAUAUCAGAGUGCUUGUAAAAUAGUUACCAAUAGGUACACAGUUCAUGGAAUAACAGCUUUUGAACCGAUCAAGUAAUCCUGGGACAAGGUCUAUUACUGUCAGAUCUGCUUGUAGUUUACUGUGAUUUCUCCUGGGGCUGGGGCACCAUCCAGCCACCUCCCUCCUCACCCCUCCAGUCUUGAGUCCAUAACCAAUUUUUAAACACUCUGAAAAUCCCAUCCCCAAAACUCUGAUUUCCCCCCCCUCCAUGUAAACUUUUACUACCAGCCCUUCAAGCUGUAGAGGCUGAGUGUUACAGCCAAGACAGCCUGGAUUUUGAUUUUACCUUCAGUUAGAGUUUGAAGCAAGAAGAGGAGUCGGCUUACUCUGAAAACUAUGAGACCAGAGUUGCUUUUUUCCUUCAGAUUUUUUUGAUAGACACACCAGAGAAAUAAAUAACUGAA